rnacentral:tRNA from 2 species
GGGUUGUUAGCUCAGCACGGAUAGAGCGCCAGCCUUCUAAGCUGGAAGUCGAGGGUUCAAAUCCCUCACGACCCGCCA